rnacentral:rRNA from 1 species
UAGGGAAUCUUCGGCAAUGGGGGGAACCCUGACCGAGCAACGUCGCGUGAGUGAAGAAGGUUUUCGGAUCGUAAAGCUCUGUUGUUAAGGAAGAACGAGUGUGAGAAUGGAAAGUUCAUACUGUGACGGUACUUAACCAGAAAGGGACGGCUAACUACGUGCCAGCAGCCGCGGUAAUACGUAGGUCCCGAGCGUUGUCCGGAUUUAUUGGGCGUAAAGCGAGCGCAGGCGGUCAAUUAAGUCUGAUGUGAAAGCCCCCGGCUCAACCGGGGGAGGUCAUUGGAAACUGGUUAACUUGAGUGCAGAAGAGGAGAGUGGAAUUCCAUGUGUAGCGGUGAAAUGCGUAGAUAUAUGGAGGAACACCAGUGGCGAAAGCGGCUCUCUGGUCUGUAACUGACGCUGAGGCUCGAAAGCGUGGGGAGCGAACAGG